rnacentral:lncRNA from 1 species
CCCAAAAUGUCAAUACAUAAGCAUCAUAAAUUGCAUAAUAAUGUUAAUGAUAAUUUUCAAUAAUGCCCAUUCUUUCGACAUGUUCAUUGAAUGUCUUUGGUGGCAAUCCUUUUGUUAAUGGAUCUGCAAUCAUAAGAUUGGUGCUAAUAUGCUCGAUUGACACCCUUUGUUUUUGAACUUCUUCUUUAACGGCAAAGUACUU